GACGAACGCUGGCGGCGUGCUUAACACAUGCAAGUCGAACGGUGAAGCGCCUUCCUUUUUGGUGGGUGUGGAUGAGUGGCGAACGGGUGAGUAACACGUGAGUAACCUGCCCCCUUCUUCUGGAUAACCGCAUGAAAGUGUGGCUAAUACGGGAUAUUCUGGGUCUGUCGCAUGAUGGGUCUGGGAAAGAUAUUGUUUCGGUGGGGGAUGGGCUCGCGGCCUAUCAGCUUGUUGGUGGGGUGAUGGCCUACCAAGGCGGUGACGGGUAGCCGGCCUGAGAGGGUGGACGGUCACACUGGGACUGAGACACGGCCCAGACUCCUACGGGAGGCAGCAGUGGGGAAUAUUGCACAAUGGGCGCAAGCCUGAUGCAGCGACGCCGCGUGAGGGAUGGAGGCCUCCGGGUUGUGAACCUCUUUCGCCAGUGAGGCAGGCCUGCCUCGUUUGUGGGUGGGUUGACGGUAGCUGGAUAAGAAGCGCCGGCUAACUACGUG
rnacentral:rRNA from 1 species